ACAAACGGAACUGAAGCGCGCAGUUUCUUUUCUCUUCUCUUCUCGUGUUUGGUUAGGUUUUAUGGAGAGGGAGAGUCCCUCGGAGAUUCCGCCACCACCUAAGUUUUGUUUGGUCACUUGGUGGAAAUGGAACGAAUGAAUGAAUGGGAGUAGGUAGUAGUACAAUUAUAAAGGGAAGGGGUCCUAUGGAGCUGUUUACAAAGCAAGGGAUUUGAGAACCUCGGAGAUGGUUGCUAUUAAAGUAAUACCGUUAUCUGAAGGGGUAACAAGGUUAGUGAAACAAGGUACUGGGAUGGAUAGGCAAUGGUCUCUAUGCCUCUCUCAUCAUCUUCUUCCUUAUCGUCACCAUCUUCUAUGACCAAUCAUUCCGUUCCGACGGCCAGACAACCAACAUGUGCCUUCUGCAGUAGUGCUUCGAUCACCAUUGUCGCUAGAAGACAUAAAUAUCAUUAGGGAACAAUGGGCCACAUUUUUUUAUUGACCAUUACUUUAACUAGUUUGGGCUUAUGUUUUAUAGUAUUGCUUUAACUAGUUAGAACUUACAUUUCAUUGAGCAAUGUAGUCCAUUUAUGUAUUAGAUGUAUUUAAAACUAUUCAAUUAUAUAUAUAUGAUUAACAUUUAUCAUCUUGUCA